UACGUAGGGGCCUAGCGUUGUUCGGAUUUACUGGGCGUAAAGGGCGCGCAGGCGGCUUAUUUUGUCAGGCGUGAAAGCCCCGGGCUUAACCUGGGAACUGCGUUUGAUACGGAUGGGCUAGAGUUCGGGAGAGGAGAGUGGAAUUCCCAGUGUAGAGGUGAAAUUCGUAGAUAUUGGGAAGAACACCGGUGGCGAAGGCGGCUCUCUGGACCGAGACUGACGCUGAGGCGCGAAAGCGUGGGGAGCAAACAGG
rnacentral:rRNA from 1 species